AGGUGUGUUGUUGUGGCUGCUUUGUGUGGUCAGGAGUGAUGGGGGAAGAUUUGGGGCGUAGCUGCUGGUGAGUCUGCACUGCUGAAGGUAAAUUUGGGGCUCUGAUUGUUGAAGGUAUUGCUGGAACAAGUGCAGAUCCAAUCCUCUGUAAGCUCUUCAUGAGCAGAAACCCAUCAGGAGAAAAAUUCAGAAACUUCACCUAUGAGAGAAGCCUGAAAGUGGAGCUGAUGGAUGGUCAAGAAAGACAAAUUAUUCUGACAUGGUGCAGUUGGGUCACAAGAAUCCUGGAGCUGAUUUAAAACCACAUGAUGGUUUAGAAGUGAUUUUCUCUUCUGGAGAAGAAAGUUUAAAUUUGGGUAAGAGAAACUGUCUGGGAAAGUACCUGGAUGGUGUUCACUCUUGCUGAAAACAAAUGGAAGACCUGGGCUAUCCUGGUGUCUUUGAUGAGAUGGGGGACCAACUCUGCAAGUCAGCUGAAUGUGUCAGGAUGGAGAGGAGGAGGAGAUUUUAGGUCUUCAUCUGUCUUUGUGAACUCCUCUAGCAGUGUUGUCUUUUAGGAAUGCUGUUACUACUUUUAUAUGCUUUUUACUUUAAUUUUUAAUACAGAGAUACUCAGCUUUUGAAAUGUGGAAAAGCCUAUGGUCAAAGACUCUUAAACUUUUUGUAUUUUAUGUUUUCUGAGGGGUUUUAACCACAUGCAGAGAGUGGCAUCCUUUCAAACCAAAGGGAAAUGAGUCACAGAAUAUAUCUGCAUUUAACUGUAAAUUGCAUCCUACUUCUGAUAAAUGAUCAGUCUUCUUUCUUUUAUGAUUUCUUUUGUGUAUUCUUGUUUCUGCAACCAUUACUCUCUGAUUUCCAUGAAAUGUUUUAGACCUUUAUCAUAAUCAUUCUCUUAGAACUCAGCUACGUGACAGAGUUCACUUUUUCUUUCUAUUUUUUUCUUUUUCUUUUUUUUUUGCAUACAAUUGGUUGUUAAAGUGUGUACAAGAUUGUUGCAUAGUAAGUUGAACAGAAAAAAGAUUAAAGUGCAGAAGGAACAUUUGCUAGAGUUACCUAACAUAAUGAAAAACAAAACAGAGAAAUAUACUCUACCCAAACAAAUGAACGAACAAAAACCCACAAACUUAUAGAAAUAUAUAGGAAACCUUUUUAAAAGUUGCUUCCUGAAUAUCCAUUGGCCUAGGGUCGAAGAUAGUUGUCUUUUUACCCUGACUCCCAUCUAUAGCUCUGUUCUAGACAUUCUGGAUACCAGAAGUGCUUCUUGGACCAGAAAUAGCUUCCUAGUUGUUUUCAGCUGUGUUAAUGCAGAGAAAGUUCCACUGUUAUGGUCUCACACAGAUGUUUUUGUAUGCACUUACACCUUUGAAAUAAGAUGCUCAAAGAAAAUGGUAGACAAAAAAGUUGUCUUAGAUACAGCCGUAUGAAUUUUCCUCACUUUUCUAUAUUUUAUCUAAUGGGGUUUUGUUACAUCAAACUACUUGAGCUCUGCUUAUACUUAUUGAUUGCAGUAAAAAUGAUACAUGAUUAAAUACAUGCCUAUAAGCUUUGUUCACUAAUGAGGGAAUUAAACAUACAUAAC
rnacentral:lncRNA from 7 species